rnacentral:rRNA from 1 species
AUUGAACGCUGGCGGCAGGCCUAACACAUGCAAGUCGAGCGGAUGAAGGGAGCUUGCUCCUGGAUUCAGCGGCGGACGGGUGAGUAAUGCCUAGGAAUCUGCCUUGUAGUGGGGGAUAACGUCCGGAAACGGGCGCUAAUACCGCAUACGUCCUGAGGGAGAAAGUGGGGGAUCUUCGGACCUCACGCUAUCAGAUGAGCCUAGGUCGGAUUAGCUAGUUGGUGGGGUAAAGGCCUACCAAGGCGACGAUCCGUAACUGGUCUGAGAGGAUGAUCAGUCACACUGGAACUGAGACACGGUCCAGACUCCUACGGGAGGCAGCAGUGGGGAAUAUUGGACGAUGGGCGAAAGCCUGAUCCAGCCAUGCCGCGUGUGUGAAGAAGGUCUUCGGAUUGUAAAGCACUUUAAGUUGGGGGGAAGGGCAGUAAGUUAAUACCUUGCUGUUUUGACGUUACCAACAGAAUAAGCACCGGCUAACUUCGUG